UGGGGAAUAUUGCACAAUGGGCGCAAGCCUGAUGCAGCCAUGCCGCGUGUAUGAAGAAGGCCUUCGGGUUGUAAAGUACUUUCAGUCGGGAGGAAGGUGGUAAGGUUAAUAACCUUGGCAAUUGACGUUACCGACAGAAGAAGCACCGGCUAACUCCGUGCCAGCAGCCGCGGUAAUACGGAGGGUGCAAGCGUUAAUCGGAAUUACUGGGCGUAAAGCGCACGCAGGCGGUUGAUUGAGUCAGAUGUGAAAUCCCCGGGCUUAACCCGGGAAUUGCAUCUGAUACUGGCAAGCUUGAGUCUCGUAGAGGGGGGUAGAAUUCCAGGUGUAGCGAUGAAAUGCGUAGAGAUCUGGAGGAAUACCGGUGGCGAAGGCGGCCCCCUGGACGAAGACUGACGCUCAGGUGCGAAAGCGUGGGGAGCAAACAGG
rnacentral:rRNA from 1 species